ACUCCUACGGGAGGCAGCAGUGGGGAAUAUUGCACAAUGGGCGCAAGCCUGAUGCAGCCAUGCCGCGUGUAUGAAGAAGGCCUUCGGGUUGUAAAGUACUUUCAGCAGUGAGGAAGGCAGGUACGUUAAUAGCGUGCUUGUUUGACGUUAGCUGCAGAAGAAGCACCGGCUAACUCCGUGCCAGCAGCCGCGGUAAUACGGAGGGUGCGAGCGUUAAUCGGAAUUACUGGGCGUAAAGCGCAUGCAGGUGGUUUGUUAAGUCAGAUGUGAAAGCCCGGGGCUCAACCUCGGAAUUGCAUUUGAAACUGGCAGACUAGAGUACUGUAGAGGGGGGUAGAAUUUCAGGUGUAGCGGUGAAAUGCGUAGAGAUCUGAAGGAAUACCGGUGGCGAAGGCGGCCCCCUGGACAGAUACUGACACUCAGAUGCGAAAGCGUGGGGAGCAAACAGGAUUAGAU
rnacentral:rRNA from 1 species